rnacentral:rRNA from 1 species
UACGAAGGGGGCUAGCGUUGUUCGGAUUUACUGGGCGUAAAGCGCACGUAGGCGGAUCGUUAAGUCGGGGGUGAAAUCCUGGAGCUCAACUCCAGAACUGCCUUCGAUACUGGCGAUCUAGAGUCCGGAAGAGGUGAGUGGAACUCCUAGUGUAGAGGUGAAAUUCGUAGAUAUUCGCAAGAACACCAGUGGCGAAGGCGGCUCACUGGCCCGAUACUGACGCUGAGGUGCGAAAGCGUGGGGAGCAAACAGG